AUACUUACCUGCAGGGGCGAUACCAUGAUCACGAAGGUGGUUCGCCCAGGGCGAGGCUCAGCCAUUGCACUGCGUUGUGCUGACCCCUGUGAAUCCCCACAUGCGGGAAUCUCAACUGCAUAAUUUGUGGUAGUGGGGGACUGCGUUCGCGCUCUCCCCUC
rnacentral:snRNA from 1 species